CCUACGGGUGGCAGCAGUGAGGAAUAUUGGUCAAUGGGCGCGAGCCUGACCCAGCCAAGUAGCGUGAAGGAUGACUGCCCUACGGGUUGUAAACUUCUUUUAUAAAGGAGUAAAGUGAGGCACGUAUGCCUGUUUGUAUUUACUUUAUGAAUAAGGAUCGGCUAACUCCGUGCCAGCAGCCGCGGUAAUACGGAGGGUCCGAGCGUUAACCUGAUUUACUGGGCGUAAAGGGAGCGUAGAUGGGAUGUUAAGUCAAGGGUGAAAGCCCCGCGCUCAACGGUAGAACUGCCUUUGAUACUGGCAAACUGGAGUGUGUGAGAGGAUAGUGGAAUUCCAGGUGUAGGAGUGAAAUCCGUAGAUAUCUGGAGGAACAUCAGUGGCGAAGGCGACUAUCUGGCACAUAACUGACGCUGAGGAGCGAAAGCGUGGGUAGCAAACAGGAUUAGAUACCCGUGUAGUC
rnacentral:rRNA from 1 species